rnacentral:rRNA from 1 species
UUGGAGGGCAAGUCUGGUGCCAGCAGCCGCGGUAAUUCCAGCUCCAAUAGCGUAUAUUAAAGUUGUUGCAGUUAAAAAGCUCGUAGUUGAAUUUCGGGAUCAAUUUAUCGGUCGUGCCAAUGGUAUGAACUGGUACAAUUGGUUUCUCCCUUCUGACGAAGCAUGAUGUCAUUAAUUUGGUGUCGUGGGGAAUCAGGACUGUUACUUUGAAAAAAUUAGAGUGUUUAAAGCAAGCAUUAGCUUGAAUACAUUAGCAUGGAAUAAUGAAAUAGGACGUUUGAUCCUAUUUCGUUGGUUUCUAGGAUCGACGUAAUGAUUAAUAGGGAUAGUUGGGGGCAUUAGUAUUCAAUUGUCAGAGGUGAAAUUCUUGGAUUUAUUGAAGACUAACUACUGCGAAAGCAUUUGCCAAGGAUGUUUUCAUUAAUCAAGAACGAAAGUUAGGGGACCGAAGACGAUCAGAUACCGUCGUAGUCUUAACCAUAAACUAUGCCGACUAGGGAUCGGAUGAUGUUAAUUUUUUAAUGACUCAUUCGGCGCCUUACGGGAAAC